GACGAACGCUGGCGGCGCGCUUAACACAUGCAAGUCGAACGGAAAGGCCCUGCUUUUGUGGGGUGCUCGAGUGGCGAACGGGUGAGUAACACGUGAGUAACCUGCCCUUGACUUUGGGAUAACUUCAGGAGACUGGGGCUAAUACCGGAUAGGAGCUCCUGCUGCAUGGUGGGGGUUGGAAAGUUUCGGCGGUUGGGGAUGGACUCGCGGCUUAUCAGCUUGUUGGUGGGGUAGUGGCUUACCAAGGCUUUGACGGGUAGCCGGCCUGAGAGGGUGACCGGCCACAUUGGGACUGAGAUACGGCCCAGACUCCUACGGGAGGCAGCAGUGGGGAAUAUUGCACAAUGGGCGGAAGCCUGAUGCAGCAACGCCGCGUGCGGGAUGACGGCCUUCGGGUUGUAAACCGCUUUCGCCUGUGACGAAGCGUGAGUAACGGUAAUGGGUAAAGGGGCACCGGCUAACUACGUG
rnacentral:rRNA from 1 species